rnacentral:sRNA from 2 species
CGCACUGUCAUUGGGGAGUAACCAUCUCUAUCCCCGGAUCCGUCUCCGAACAGAGGCCGGCUCCAGAGAGUCAGCGUCAACACACUUGGUGGUUUCGUACCCCAUGGCGCUGACGGCCCGCACGCACGGAUCAUCCGCGCGCAGCAGCCCGGCGAGACCUUUGGCCGCGAUGCGUUCACCCUGCCGGGCGAGCC